rnacentral:rRNA from 2 species
CAACUUUCAGCAGUGAUGUUAGGCUCGCACACGAUGAAGAACGCUCGAACUCGAUACGUAAUGAAUUGCAGAAUUCAGUAGUCAUAAAUUUUAACGCAUAUGCACUUCCGGGUUAGCCUGAAGUAGUUGUAUCAGUGUCCGUA